UUAGCUCAAUGGUUGAGCGUUGGCUUUGAGAGCCACAGGUCGGUGGUUCGAACCCACCA
rnacentral:tRNA from 1 species